rnacentral:tRNA from 1 species
GUGAGGGUCGGUGGAAGGCUGGUUAAACCGUUUGGUUUUCGACCACAACGAUCCGGGUUCAAUUCCCGCAUUGGGCACU